rnacentral:SRP_RNA from 2 species
GCCAGGCGUGGUGGCGCAUGCCUGUAAUCUCAGCUACUCAGGAGGCUGAGGCAGGAGAAUCGCUUGAACCUGGGAGGCAGAGGUUGCAGUGAGCCAAGACUGUGCCACUGCACUCUGCCCUGGGUGACAGAGCGAGACUCUAUCUCAA